rnacentral:misc_RNA from 1 species
AGCUGCUAUCGAAGCUCCUCUAAAAUGGAUAGGAUCUUGGUCUGAGUGUAUAUGCGGUUUUGAAAUAAAAGGAUCAAUAACCCCCUUCUUGUUCUAGCAAGAGGGCGUUAUUGUUCCCCCUGUUUCUUUUCUUGAAUUUGUUUUUACUGCGUAGUCUUUGACUUUCCUACUUUCUUUCAAAAAAGGGAUUUUGGAGCGUUCAUUUUAGUAGUGGGCUUUCGUUUCAUAUUUGUUCUAUUACUUUUUAUUUAUAUAUUUAGGCCCUCUUCUCACCCUUGUUUAAAGUUGUUUUUUUUUUUCAUAAAAAAAUAUGAAAUAAAAAAACAGAGAUGUUCGAAUAACAUUUUUUUCUUAUAUGUAAAACCGAUUCGCAGGGCGGAGUAGCCA